rnacentral:rRNA from 1 species
UACGUAGGGGGCAAGCGUUGUCCGGAUUUAUUGGGCGUAAAGAGCGUGUAGGCGGCCAGUUAGGUCCGUUGUGAAAACUCGAGGCUCAACCUCGAGACGCCGAUGGAAACCAAUUGGCUAGAGUCCGGAAGAGGUGAGUGGAAUUCCCAGUGUAGCGGUGAAAUGCGUAGAUAUUGGGAGGAACACCAGUGGCGAAGGCGGCUCACUGGACCGGAACUGACGCUGAGGCGCGAAAGCGUGGGGAGCAAACGGG